GUGCAAUAAAAUGACUUGUUGCUGAAGGAACUAGGUCUCCUGAUCUUGUCAGCUGAGGAUGGACACAAGCUCACCUCUUCAAGCAGCAGUUCCCUGUGUCUCUUCUAUUAUCACCAGAAUCUAUACCUGUACUUACUCAGCAGAUACCAACUCACAGUUAAUAACUCACAGACACUCUCCCAUCAAAGUCUUCAUACUUACCAGGGCUUGCUUGGGUUAUCCCAGUUUUGGAGACAUUAAGAAUGGAGCUGAACACCGCAGGAACAUCAGAAGCUCCAUUCCUAACAAUGGGAAGGUCAUUGAUAAGACAGCUGAUGAUCAUGAUGGUUAGUCCAGGAAUGUUGUCCUGUAGCUACACUCUGGGAAAGUAACUGCUACAACCAUCUUUGUACGUGUCAGAUUCAUUCUCCGCACAGUUUUCUCAUUACCCACAUUAACUCUAAAUUUGUGACAGUUACAUGGUUGGUCAAAUGUUGCAUUGACGUUAGAAACUGCUGUACUUACAUUCCUUUCCUUAUGUGGG